rnacentral:sRNA from 1 species
ACAUGUCCUGCUGCUUACAGUUCUGGAUUCUCGGGCCAAGUUACACGCUUUAUUUAUACGCAGUGCCAUCUAGGGUCUUUUGCAUACAAGACCUGGAAUAGAUACCCAUCAGGGGACACUGAAACCUGUGGCAGAAGAGCUGGUGUGCGCUACAGUGAGAGCUCAGGCAGAGCAGGAGUAGGCUGCAGUUCUUAGACUUGCCACCAGAUGGCGCCUCAACCCUGCACCAGGCACAGAUGCUUGGGAUCCAGCAUCCAGAGCAGACAGGCUAGGAAGAAAUUGCAGAGUCCACCAGGCUGAAACUUGUGCCAAGGAAGGGACAGAGCAGGCACAAAGCAUCCACCCCGACUUGGAUCUGUGGUUUCCACGAGGAGUAGCCAUGCGAUCACGAGGUUUGAGGAUGCGCCUUUCCCUACUGCUUAGCACAGUGAGAUCCUGUCUUCAUGUCUGACCCCCCGCAAAGACCCCUGCACAAGACUCUAGUAUAUGUGUGCCCUAUGAUGUGGUGCUGUCUUGGCUCCUCAUCCCAACAUGGUGCCAGUGACAGGAAGUUGACAGGCUGCAUGCUGUCGUCUGACCAUGAGACUCCUUCAGAGCCUCCAGAUAGCAAAUCGUCUGUCCGUGCUGUGGCCCUCGCCUCCUCUCUUGCCUCUGGGGGGCUUCUCUUUAUGCGUCCCUGUUUAAAGCUGGUUCUGUUGAGCAAGGCUGGCAAGUGGAUGAAAUGUAUCCCUGAGUCUGGAGCCUGUAGCCUCUCUUCCCUCAGCCAGCAAGAGUCAUGUGAGUGUAUGUGCCAGCCCAGUACCCACCACUGCUGCGGGCCGUCUCAGCAAUCCCACAGACUUUUCUUCCAUCCGCUAAGCACCCACUUCCUCACCUCCACUCAGUCCACCGGCCCUCUCUGAGAGGGAGCACUCCACCCAGUCCACCUGUCCUCUCUGAGUGGGAGCACCCCACCCAGUCCACCUGUCCUCUCUGAGUGGGAGCACCUCACCCAGUCCACCUGUCCUCUCUGAGAGGGAGCACCCCACCCAG